rnacentral:misc_RNA from 1 species
GAACCAGUUCGUUUAUCUAUAAAAAGGGAUGGGCAAUUUAUUAUCUAUCAAACCAUAAGUAUUUCAUUAGUUGAUAAAGGUAAAGAUAAAGUUAAAACUAAUAAAAAAUUCAUAAAAAAACGAAAUGUUGAUAAGAAUAAUUUAGACAAAUCCAUUGCACAACAUAGCGAUAUGCCUGUGAAUGAAGAAAAAAAUAAUAAUUCUAAUUUUCUUGUUCCUGAACAUAUUCUAUCUCAUCGACGUCGGAGAGAGUUGAGAAUUCUAAUUUGUUUCAAUUUCUGGAAUUGGAAUGAUAUAGAUAAAACUCCACAAUUUUGCAACGAAAACAAAAUAAUAAACUGUGGACAAUUUUUUAAUGAGGACAAGCAUCUUAAUAGAGAUGCAAACAACUUUAUUAAAUUAAAAUUAUUUCUUUGGCCUAAUUACCGAUUAGAGGAUUUAGCUUGUAUGAAUCGUUACUGGUUUGAUACCCAUAACAGCAGUUGUUUUAGUAUGUCAAGGAUAUAUAUGUAUCCCCAAUCCAGAAUAAGUUAAUAAACUAAUAUUAUAUUUCCUAUAUAUCACCUGACAUAACAUAUUUGAUAGAUGGCGAAAGAUGUACAUAUGCAUAUGUUAUGUUACAUUUUAGUACCUGAUAUUGAUUUAUUUUUAGAUUUUGG